UACAGAGGGUGCAAGCGUUAAUCGGAAUUACUGGGCGUAAAGCGUGCGUAGACGGUUGCGUAAGUCAGAUGUGAAAGCCCCGGGCUCAACCUGGGAAUUGCAUUUGAGACUGCGUAGCUAGGGUGCGGAAGAGGGAAGCGGAAUUUCCGGUGUAGCGGUGAAAUUCGUAGAUAUCGGGAGGAAUACCAGCGGCGAAGGCGGCCUUCUGGACGGUGACUGACGCUGAGACGCGAAAGCGUGGGGAGCAAACAGG
rnacentral:rRNA from 1 species